UAAAAGUAACUUUUCUUCAUCAGAUGUAA
rnacentral:piRNA from 1 species